GAUGAACGCUCGCGGCAGGCCUAAUACAUGCAAGUCGAACGAGAUUAAGAGGCUUGCUUCUUAUGAAAGUGGCGCACGGGUGCGUAACGCGUAUGCAACCUACCUUAAUCAGGGGGAUAGCCCGAAGAAAUUCGGAUUAAGACCGCAUAAAAACACAGGAUAGCAUUAUCCAAUGUUCAAAUAUUUAUAGGAUUAAGAUGGGCAUGCGUGUCAUUAGCUAGUUGGCGGGGUAACGGCCCACCAAGGCGACGAUGACUAGGGGAUCUGAGAGGAUGACCCCCCACACUGGUACUGAGACACGGACCAGACUCCUACGGGAGGCAGCAGUAAGGAAUAGUGGUCAAUGGAGGGAACUCUGAACCAGCCAUGCCGCGUGCAGGAAGACAGCCCUCUGGGUCGUAAACUGCUUUUAUUCGGGAAUAAACCUUUCUACGUGUAGGAAGCUGAAUGUACCGAAGGAAUAAGGAUCGGCUAACUCCGUG
rnacentral:rRNA from 1 species